AUGCAACCAGAACAAAAGAAAGCUAGAAUAGAAAAAAUUAAAGUUAACCAUGAAUUGAGAAGCUUCAAAGAUUCAAUUGCGAUGGAGAACCCUGCAUAUAUCGCAACCGAACAGGAAGUUGGUACUUCUACCUUUCCUGUCAAACACAAAAAGCAUGUGAUGUCAGGAGAAAGACAAACAUUGCUACACCGUCAUAACAAAAGAAUUCAUGACAAGACGGAUGAAAACUGUUUUUGUAUCACCAGAAGAAGACGCAUCCAUAACAGAAACAGGCAGUGA
rnacentral:rRNA from 1 species